rnacentral:rRNA from 1 species
CGGAGGGUGCGAGCGUUGUCCGGAAUCACUGGGCGUAAAGGGCGCGUAGGCGGCCUGGUAAUAGGGGGUGAAAUCCUGCGGCUUAACCGCAGGGCUGCCUUCUAAACUGUCAGGCUUGAGCACAGUAGAGGCAGGUGGAAUUCCCGGUGUAGCGGUGGAAUGCGUAGAGAUCGGGAAGAACAUCAGUGGCGAAGGCGGCCUGCUGGGCUGUUGCUGACGCUGAGGCGCGACAGCGUGGGGAGCAAACAGGAUUAGAUACCCUGGUAGUCCACGCCGUAAACGAUGGGCACUAGGCGUCGGGGGGAGCGACCCUCCCGGUGCCGUCGCUAACGCAGUAAGUGCCCCGCCUGGGGAGUACGGCCGCAAGGCUG